GGGCGCGGGCCGGCCGCCGCGCGGUGCGCUCGCCGUGCUCUGUGCGGCUUGCCGGGCCGCCCGCCAGAGGGUGCCCCCCACCCCCAUGAAGUCGGAUCCUUGAGCUGCGGCGGCGGCAGCCAACUGCUCCAUAUUUGGCUUCUAUUACACAUUUACAUACUGGAGCGAGCGAGCGAGCGAGCGCGAGAGAGCGCGAGGGAGGGAGGGCGGGCGGGCGGAGGGAGGAGGGAGGGGAGGGGAGCGGGAGGAGGGGGAGGAGGAGGAGGAGGAGGAGGAGAGAGCAGAGUAUACCGCAGACAUCAUUUCUACUACAGUGGCGGAGCCGUACAGGACCUGUUUCACUGCAGGGGGAUCCAAAACAAGCCCCGUGGAGCAGCAGCCAGAGCAACAGCAGCCGCAAGACAUUGUUUCUCUCCCUCUGCCCCCCCUUCCCCACGCAACCCCAGAUCCAUUUACACUUUACAAUCACACGUGGGGAAACCAAGGACUACAAGAAUUACUUCUUUUGCAUAUCAGUCCCAGGCAGGCAAUCGAUGCUUAAAUAAAUGCUUGGUGAAUGGAUUAGUUAGAAGUUUUACCUCACAAAAACUACUACAAGCACCAAGCUCCCUGAUGGAAAGGAGCAUCGUGCAUCAAGUCACCAGGGUGGUCCAUUCAAGCUGCAGAUUUAUUUGUCAUCCUUGUACAACAGUCUCCUCCUCCACUGCCACUACAGGGAAGUGCAUCACAUGUCAGGUCACAGAACAGAAAGUGCUGGUGGACAUCUCUUCUUGCCCUAAGAUCUUCGUUGGAAGUCCUCGGGACUUGGUGUCUUUGCCGUUCAAAGUGUUUAUGAACUCGCCAGGAGGCAUAAUGUGUCACCAUUUUAUUCUGGGCCACCCUAAAGGAUGA
rnacentral:lncRNA from 1 species